rnacentral:rRNA from 1 species
AUCAACGCUGGCGGCGUGCCUAACACAUGCAAGUCGAACGCGAAAGCCCCGCAAGGGGUCAGUAGAGUGGCAAACGGGUGAGUAACACGUGGGUGACCUGCCUCAGAGUGGGGGAUAACGACCCGAAAGGGUCGCUAAUACCGCAUAACAUCCUGCGCUUGGAAGCGCGGUGAUCAAAGCCGGGGAUCGCAAGACCUGGCGCUUAGAGAGGGGCCCGCGGCCGAUUAGCUAGUUGGUAGGGUAAUGGCCUACCAAGGCGACGAUCGGUAUCCGGCCUGAGAGGGCGGACGGACACACUGGGACUGAGACACGGCCCAGACUCCUACGGGAGGCAGCAGUGGGGAAUUGUUCGCAAUGGGCGCAAGCCUGACGACGCAACGCCGCGUGGAGGACGAAGAUCUUCGGGUCGUAAACUCCUUUCGAUCGGGAAGAACGCCUGCGGGAUGAAUACUCCCGCAGGGUGACGGUACCGAGAGAAGAAGCCCCGGCUAACUCCGUGCCAGCAGCCGCGGUAAUACGGGGGGGGCAAGCGUUGUUCGGAAUUACUGGGCGUAAAGGGCUCGUAGGCGGCCAACUAAGUCCGACGUGAAAUCCCCAGGCUCAACCUGGGAACUGCGUCGAUACUGGAUGGCUUGAAUCCCGGGAGAGGGAUGCAGAAUU